AGUGAACGCUGGCGGUAGGCCUAACACAUGCAAGUCGAACGGCAGCACAGGAGAGCUUGCUCUCUGGGUGGCGAGUGGCGGACGGGUGAGGAAUACGUCGGAAUCUACUCUGUCGUGGGGGAUAACGUAGGGAAACUUACGCUAAUACCGCAUACGACCUACGGGUGAAAGCAGGGGAUCUUCGGACCUUGCGCGAUUGAAUGAGCCGAUGUCGGAUUAGCUAGUUGGCGGGGUAAAGGCCCACCAAGGCGACGAUCCGUAGCUGGUCUGAGAGGAUGAUCAGCCACACUGGAACUGAGACACGGUCCAGACUCCUACGGGAGGCAGCAGUGGGGAAUAUUGGACAAUGGGCGCAAGCCUGAUCCAGCCAUACCGCGUGGGUGAAGAAGGCCUUCGGGUUGUAAAGCCCUUUUGUUGGGAAAGAAAUGCAGCUGGCUAAUACCCGGUUGGGAUGACGUACCCAAAGAAUAAGCACCGGCUAACUUCGUGCCAGCCGCCGCGGUAA
rnacentral:rRNA from 1 species